rnacentral:rRNA from 1 species
UACAGAGGGUGCGAGCGUUAAUCGGAAUUACUGGGCGUAAAGCGUGCGUAGACGGUAGCGUAAGUCAGAUGUGAAAGCCCCCGGGCUCAACCUGGGAAUUGCAUUUUGAGACUGCUCUGCUCGGGGUGCGGAAGAGGGAAGCGGAAUUUCCGGUGUAGCGGUGAAAUGCGCAGAUAUCAGGAAGAACACCAAUGGCGAAAAGCAGCUUUCUGGGACGGUACUGACGCUGAGACGCGAAAGCGUGGGGAGCGAACAGG